GACAUCUGGAAACAGCUGGAGGGGGAGGGCGGGCUCUCCCCACAGUCCCUGGCACACCCCCUUCACGACCUGCCCGUCACACCUUGCGGGGCCUAUAGCUCAGCCCAUUCUCACUAAGCCACGCACAUGGCUGGGCGAAGGCCGGGCACUGGGCACCUUGCUAGAGGCCGUAGGGGCGGGGAACCGUGGUCAGGGUUCCACCCAGUAAAGGGAGUGCCAGAGGACUGGAAAGAAGAAUGGAUGGGAAUGGUCAAGAGUCGGGUUGAAACCUGACCCUGCCACCCCCUAGCUGUAUCACCUCAGCCAAUUUUUUAUGCUCCCUCCUUCCUUCAUUCCCCAGCACUGACCGAGUGCCUCCAGGUAACCGUGUUCCUCCAGCUCGCGUAGAUCUAUGUGCCCAGCACAUGAAAUGGUGUCUGUCACCAUCGGAUGCUUCACUUCAAGCUCCGGAAAAGGGCAGAGACCAGGCCUGUCUUCAGCACCUUGAACAACUCAUCGUGACAGGUGCCCCACGAAUUUCUGGAGAGGCUUUUUGUGGGAUCCUUCUCAACUAGAAGCUUGGUGUUCUGCCCUUCCUUUCAUAACUUCUGGGCCACAAUGUUGGUCACCAAUAUGCAUUCAGUUAAGAUUUAUACUAGCUGAGUGCUGAAAUGACUUGAGGCAGCUUUCAGAUUAAAAAGUAAAAAU